rnacentral:rRNA from 1 species
UACGGAGGGUGCAAGCGUUAUCCGGAUUCACUGGGUUUAAAGGGAGCGCAGGCGGAUUUGUAAGUCAGUGGUGAAAGGCUUAAGCUUAACUUGGGAACUGCCAUUGAUACUAUAAGUCUUGAAUGUUGUUUGAGGUUUGCGGAAUGGGUUCAUGUAGCGGUGAAAAUGCAUAGAUAUGACCCCGGAAACACCUAUUGCGAAAGGCAG